GCCAGGCAUGGUGGCGCAUGCCUGUAAUCCCAGCUACUCAGGAGGCUGAGGCAGGAGAAUUGCUUGAACCCAGGGACGGAGGUUGCAGUGAGCUGAGAUCACGCCGCUGCACUCCAGCCUGGGUGACAGAGCGAGACUCUGGCUCAA
ensembl:misc_RNA Metazoa_SRP Metazoan signal recognition particle RNA